GCAAAAUGUGCAGUGUUGGUAGGCCUCCAGGAAUGUGGUUGGGAACCACUGCUUUAGACAAUAAUGACUUCAAAUUAUCUUUUGGGGAUAAUUCAUCAGCCAAAUGUGAUGUUUCUUGUUCCACCUCUGAAAUGGCGUCUCAACAAAAACCUCUGAAACUCAUCACUGCCACGACAACAUUGAAGAUUCAAGACAGCAUUAGGAAAGCUGAUCAGAGUCUUCAACAAUGUAUGGAUUCUUUUGAAUGGGCUUUUUUAAACACAGUCUGAUUUACAUUUUCAUGAUUGUGACUCACUCUC